GAUGAACGCUAGCGACAGGCUUAACACAUGCAAGUCGAGGGGCAGCACAGGUAGCAAUACCGGGUGGCGACCGGCGCACGGGUGAGUAACGCGUAUGCAACUUACCUAUCAGAGGGGGAUAACCCGGCGAAAGUCGGACUAAUACCGCAUGAAGCAGGGGUCCCGCAUGGGGAUAUUUGCUAAAGAUUCAUCGCUGAUAGAUAGGCAUGCGUUCCAUUAGGCAGUUGGCGGGGUAACGGCCCACCAAACCGACGAUGGAUAGGGGUUCUGAGAGGAAGGUCCCCCACAUUGGUACUGAGACACGGACCAAACUCCUACGGGAGGCAGCAGUGAGGAAUAUUGGUCAAUGGCCGAGAGGCUGAACCAGCCAAGUCGCGUGAGGGAUGAAGGUUCUAUGGAUCGUAAACCUCUUUUAUAAGGGAAUAAAGUGCGGGACGUGUCCCGUUUUGUAUGUACCUGAUGAAUAAGGAUCGGCUAACUCCGUG
rnacentral:rRNA from 1 species